rnacentral:rRNA from 1 species
AUACGUAGGGUGCGAACGUUAUCCGGAUUUAUUGGGCGUAAAGAGAUGCGUAGGCGUUUCUGUAAGUCUUGAGUUAAAGCCCACGGCUCAACCGUGGAAAAGCUUAGGAUACUGCAGAAAUUGAGACAGGAAGAGGCGAACAGAAUUCCCAGUGGAGUGGUGAAAUACGUUGAUAUUGGGAAGAAUAUCAGUGGCGAAGGCGGUUCGCUGGUCCUUGUCUGACGCUGAGGCUCGAAAGCGUGGGUAGCAAAACGGAUUAGAUACCCGUGUAGUCCACGCCGUAAACGAUGGAUGCUAGGUGUUCGGUACAACUGUUUUUUCCUUCGGGAAAAGAUGGAAGUAUUGAGUGCCACAGCUAACGCGUUAAGCAUCCCGCCUGGGAAGUACGGCCGCAAGGCUAAAACUCAAAUGAAUUGGCGGGGACCCGCACAAGCGGAGGAGCGCGUGGUUUAAUUCGACGGCAAUCGAAGAACCUUACCAGGGUUUGAAAUGUAUCUGCAUGCCCCCAGAAAAGGGGGAGGCCUUAGAGGGUGAUACACAGGUGCUGCAUGGCCGCCGUCAGCUCGUGUCGUGAGAUGUAGGGUUAAGUCCCGAAACGAGCGCAACCCCUAUCCUAUGUUACAAGUGUCUUAGGAAACUGCCUCGGUAAAACGAGGAGGAAGGUGGGGAUGACGUCUGGUCCGCAUAGCCCUUAUGUCCUGGGCUACACACGCGCUACAAUGGCCGAUACAGCAGGAAGCCAAAUCGUAAGAUGGAGCUAAUCCUCAAAAUCGGUCUCAGUUCGGAUUGAGGUCUGAAACUCGACCUCAUGAAGUUGGAUUCGCUAGUAAUCGUAGAUCAGCAAUGCUACGGUGAAUACGUUCUCGGGUCUUGCACACACCGCCCGUCAGGCCAUGGAAGUAGGUGAUACUCGAAGGCGUCCCGCUAUUUAUAGUGGGAUGACGAAGGUAACGCUUAUAACUGGGGUU